rnacentral:rRNA from 1 species
GGACUACUGGGGUAUCUAAUCCCGUUUGCUCCCCUGGCUUUCGCGCCUCAGCGUCAGUAGUGGUCCAGCAGGUCGCUUUCGCCACCGGCGUUCCUUCCGAUAUCAACGCAUUUCACCGCUCCACCGGAAGUUCCACCUGCCCCUACCACCCUCCAGACCACCAGUAUCCCAGGCAAUUUUCCGGUUGAGCCGAAAGAUUUCACCCCAGACUUGGUGGCCCGCCUACGCGCCCUUUAAGCCCAGUGAUUCCGAACAACGUUCGCACGGUUCGUCUUACCGCGGCUGCUGGCAC